CAAUAGCGUAUAUUAAAGUUGUUGCGGUCAAAAGCUCGUAGUUGGAUUUCUGCCGAGGACGACCGGUCCGCCCUCUGGUUGAGUAUCUGGCUCGGCCUGGGCAUCUUCUUGGAGAACGUAGCUGCACUUGACUGUGUGGUGCGGUAUCCAGGACUUUUACCUUGAGGAAAUUACAGUGUUUCAAGCAGACAUACGCCUUGAAUACACUAGCAUGGAAUAAUAAGAUAGGACCUCGGUUCUAUUUUGUUGGUUUCUAGAGCUGAGGUAAUGAUUAAUAGGGAUCUUUGGGGGCAUUCGUAUUUAACUGUCAGAGGUGCAAUUAUUGGAUUUGUUAAAGACGGACUACUGCGAAAGCAUUUGCCAAGGAUAUUUUCAUUGAUCAAGAACGAACGUUAGGGGAUCGAAGAUGAUUAGAUACCGU
rnacentral:rRNA from 1 species